rnacentral:lncRNA from 1 species
UCUUUGGCCGUCAUUCAUUUCUUCUUGGAACUUUGCUUACCUCAACUUAUUGAUUUUCAUAUUGUUUGAUGUUUUAGUUAAUUAGUUAGAUACCUGUCUCUCUUAAGAUGUUAUAAACUCUUUGGAUCUAGACUGUCAUCUUUAUAGCCCAUAUCAUCUAGUCUAGGGAUGCAUUUGCCUGUAAGCAACAGAAAUCUGUCUUAAGGUAACUUUACUGGGGAGUUUGCUUCCCUUACAUCAUAAGAAGCUUUGGUUAGGAGGCAGCUGAAGACAUUGAUUCAGCAGCUCCGCAAUGCCUAGGCUAAAUCUCCAAAAUUGUCUUGGCAUUGCCCUCUUGGUCACAAGGUGGUGGCUGCUCAGCCAGACUUUCUCUGCAUUCCAGGCAGAUAGGAAUAGGGUUCUGAAGCCACCAGCAGGAUUCCUUUAUAUCUCAUGGGUCAGAACUGAGUCACAUGGCAAUUCCUAUCUGUAGCAGAGGUAGGGGAGUUGAUUUUUAUUUUUGCAGACACUGUAGUAGUAAAUGGAAAAGGAAAGGAGAUUGGAUUGGAUUUUGAAUCUGCCAUCCGCCGAAGGCUAACAGAAAGAAACUAAAAACCUGCUGAUGUGAGCAGUGGGAACACAUGGGAUUUUGAUAAAAGGGUCACAUGUUAAAAUGUGAUUUUAAGAUUAAUCUGCCAGAGCAAUGCAAUCUUAUUGUUUCUUUUCCAGACCACCUGAAAACUCAGAUCAAAUGGAGUAAUGGUUUGAAAUUUAGUUGACCCUUUCCUUUCGGUCUUAAUGCUUUCCCAAAUAGUCUUAUAUAAAGUUCAUAAACUUUUCUUUUUGAAUCUGUGCUUGUAUUUUUUUCUUUCCCAAA